rnacentral:rRNA from 1 species
GUGGGGAAUUUUGGACAAUGGGGGCAACCCUGAUCCAGCCAUGCCGCGUGCGGGAAGAAGGCCUUCGGGUUGUAAACCGCUUUUGUCAGGGAAGAAAUCCUUUGGGUUAAUACCUCGGAGGGAUGACGGUACCUGAAGAAUAAGCACCGGCUAACUACGUGCCAGCAGCCGCGGUAAUACGUAGGGUGCGAGCGUUAAUCGGAAUUACUGGGCGUAAAGCGUGCGCAGGCGGUUUUGUAAGAUCGAUGUGAAAUCCCCGGGCUCAACCGGGGAACUGCAUUGGUGACUGCAAGGCUGGAGUGCGGCAGAGGGGGAUGGAAUUCCGCGUGUAGCAGUGAAAUGCGUAGAUAUGCGGAGGAACACCGAUGGCGAAGGCAAUCCCCUGGGCCUGCACUGACGCUCAUGCACGAAAGCGUGGGGAGCAAACAGGAUUAGAAACCCGUGUAGUCC